rnacentral:rRNA from 1 species
UACGGGAGGCAGCAGUAGGGAAUCUUUCACAAUGGGCGANCCNUUGANGGAGCAACGCCGCGUGCAGGAUGACGGCCUUCGGCCUUGUAAACUGCUUUUAUAAGCGAGAAAUAUGAUGGUAACUUAUGAAUAAGGACCGGCUAACUACGUGCCAGCAGCCGCGGUAAU